rnacentral:pre_miRNA from 1 species
AUUAGCAAAAUUGGUACACGAGGAAUUGGAACGAUUGCUUAAGUUUGCCGCUAGGGGCGCUGUUCCAACUGCAUACAAAGUUGAGUUA